AUUCUAUUUUUUAUAUCAAAAGUAUAUUUCACCGGUAAGAACCAGUGUAUAAAUAAACUCAUGAAUUUAAUAAUCAAUAUUUUAAAAAUAAUACUUCAUCUUUUCUUCCUAUGAGAAAGAAAUUGGUAGUCAUCUUUUUUUUGCAGAUCCAGUAUAGUCGAGAAAGAAACCUAGUGCGUGGGGAUCUAGGGGAUCUAGGGGGAAGAAUGAGAAUUUACGGAACACAAACCCAACCUCGUCUACGAUUGCCCUUUCUCUCUUUAGGCAGGGACAGCUGUUUAAAGAAAGGGAUCCGUCCGCAUUCACGAGCUUCCUCCGAUAAACAACUGAACUAAGGCUGCAAAGACAGCUAUCUUCUCCUUGCUUGCUCCCUGGGGUUGUUUUGAGGGAGGCUGCUUUGGGCCCAGGAAGCGAAGGGAAUGAGCUCGGCGAAAAAGUGAUCCGUGUGUAUCAAUGGAGAAGGAGCCUUCUAGUACAAGCAAGAAUACGACGUCGCCGACGCCGGAUUCAUACAUCGGAUGCUCAUCAGCGUGACGUCGAAGUCAGAUAUUCGUUACGAGGGAUUUAUCUACUACAUCAAUCCUAAGGGAUGUUAUUUUCCGCGAAUAGAGAGUGGCGUUGCCAAUAUGAGAAAACCUUAGCGUUUUAGUGAAAAAUGGACCUCAAGUUCAGCGGAGUGACAAGGUGUAUAACUACAUUAUGAUUCGUGGCAGUGACA